CUCAGAAUGACCCACACCACUGGAUUUUUUUGUUUUUUUUGAGUCUUGCUCUGCUCCCCAGGCUGGAGUGCAUUGGCGUGAUCAUAGCUUACUACAGCCUCGACUUCCCAGGCUCAAGGGAUCCUCCCACCUCAGCCUCUGGAGUAGCUGGGAUCACAGGUGCACGCUACCAUGCCCAGCUAAUUUUAAAAAUUUUUCGUAGAAUUGGGGUCUCUCUAUGUUGUCCAAGCUGGUCUUGACCUCCUGGGCUCAAGUGAUCCUCCUGCCUCAGCCUCCCAAGUAGCUGGAACCACAGGUGUGCACCACCACGCCCAGCUACUUAAAAAAUUUUUUUUAGACAUGGGGUCUUGCUAUAUUACCCAGGAUGGACCCCUGGAUCUUUAUUGAGAUAGCAGACCCCUGAACCACUCUAGGGCUUAUCCCCCACUCUCUGCAAUGCAUGGGUGCCUUACAAGGGCAUGUAGGGUAUGUUCCACUUCCUGCUUACCAGGUCUGAUUAGCAUGGCAUCUUCAGUGUAGCAUCCCUAUGUGAUGUUCUGUGGGAUGUCCAGAUGAUUAAGGUCCCUGUAAAUGUGUACUGCUGCUAUUCCAGGGUGGCUCCUCCUGCCUGACACCCUCCUCCCACCCUUCAUCCACCAACUCCUGUGCAUCUCAGGGCCCGCUUGGCUGUUACCUCCCCAGGGAAGACUUCAGGACUGGCCAGGUUCCUGUGGAUGCAACAGAAACAGAUUCUGCUCUCAGGCUUGGGUCUACCCGAGUCAUUGCCGCCGUCUCUGCUACACCGGCUGGGCGCUCCCGUGGGCAUCCGAAGCCCUUGGCACAUAUAUCAGUCCUGGCCCCGACUGCAACCACAGUCCUCAAUGGCUGACUUGCCCGUCGCCUCCCUGCCCCGCCUGCUCCUGGUGACCAGGACCCCACCCUAUUCAGUUGACCACUGUGGGUCAGCAUAGCGCCCAGCCAUGACUGCUCAAAGACCAUGGCACGCAGCAGGGACUUGAGGGGCAGCUCCAAACUCCAGAACGCGAAGAACUCGGUGGUUCCCCACAAGGCAGAUGGAGGGGAAACUGAGGCUGGGAAGCUGAGUCCUUUCUGCCUGGGGCUUCCUCUCUCAAGAAAGGAGGCCGGUGGCGCACAUUUGGAAAAGUGUCUAGCAGUAUCAGCAAAGCUAAACAGAUGCUCACCCCCUGGCCCAGCAAAUCCACCAUGGGUCACACCUGCUGCAAUAAUGAAUUGGGAGUGCAUUAGGCUGAGAUGACGCCAAUACCUUCGGUUCUGACAGAAGCAAACGGAAACCCAACGCAGAGGGAAUGGUCCCAGUCUAGGAAACCAAGAGACUCAAGCAUAACCAAUGAGAAACUGCCAAGUAACCUCUAACUAGGGACUUUCCACUUUAAUUAACCAAAUGUUUUCUUUGUCUUGCUUUUGCAAGCCUCUUAUAAAAGUUUUCCCCUGAUGGCCCCUCGGCAGAGCCUGGGUAGCUCUAGAUCCAGUGCUGCUCAAUUCAUGAACUGCUGAACGUUCAAAUAAACUUAUUGCAAAUUUUAAUGUGCUCAAGUCUGUCUAACAUACCCAGUGGGAAUGAGUGUGGAUGUCCCCCAAGACAUUAUUCCAUGAUCGUCGAGAGAAGCCUUACUUAAGACAGCCUCGAACUGGAAUCACCCCAGUGAAACCCUUUAAGAACUCUGGACACCAAAGCUCGGGAGAGCUUCCAGGCUGGUGAGCACAUGGAUGUCACAGGUAGCUGAGCUGCCUGGUUCCCCAGAGAGAGGACAUGAGGCUCGGUGUUCAGGACUCCCCUUGACCUUGCCCCGCACAUCUCUGCAUCUGGCCGGUGCUGAUCUGUAUAUUUUAUAACAAAACUGUUAUCAUAAGUACAGUGCUUCCCUGAGUUCUGUGAGUUGUUGUAGCAAUUUGUUGAACCUGAGGGGUUUGUGGGAACUCCUGAAUUGGUAGCCAGUCAAAAGUGCAGGUGGCCUGGGGACCCCUGAACUUGUAGCUGGUAUCUGAAGUGGGGGCCGUCUUGUUGGGAACCACAUCCUUAAGCCCGUGGAGUCUGACGCUAACUCUAGGCGGUUGUCAGAACUGAAUUACCAUCCGCCAGUCAGGGUUGAAACAGAAUAUUCAGAAACCCCAUGUAGCUGAGCAGAAAUGUGCUUGAGAAGGGAACCCCACAUCUGUUUAGAAAAUGGUUUUAACACAGAGACAUCCAGAAUUGAGUCUGGCAAUGAUGAAGUAGAUCAAAAUGACAGCAUUUAUGUUUUUGUGCUAAGUUCAGAAAUACACAUCUUUGGCAUUUUAAGAACUUACAAAGUUUAAGAGAAUUUGGCAUAUUUGAGUCUUCACAUCAGACGUGUGAUUCUAAUUUUAAAUGUGCUCUUGAGUCAUUGAUUUCUGAGCCCUUCAAACAACCCAUGAGCUCAACCCAUGAUCCCUUCAACCAACCAGCCUGAUGCUAGUAAUCAGCAUCUGUGAUUGCAAGCUGAAAUCUUACUAAGUUGGUAAACAGUUUUUGAAUAUUUAAAAAUCACCAUAAUUAUACGUUUAAUGUAUUUGAUUUAUGAGAAUCACGUAAGGACUUGGGAAGAUUUGUUAGUCAGAUAAUUGAAAAACUUAGAAAAUGGAAUAUAAUAAAUUUUGACUGCAGCUUAAAAUGUUUAAAGGAAUUUAAAUUAACUAAG
rnacentral:lncRNA from 10 species